CAUAAGAUCUGUGUCUUCUCCAUAGGUACAGAAGACACACAUCCUCAUCAUGGAAUGGAGCUGGACUAUUCACUUUCUUGUGUCAGUAACUACAGGUGUGCACUCCCAGGUCCAGCUGCAACAAUCUGGUCCUCAGCUGGUGAAGCCUGGAUCCUCAGUGAAGCAGUCCUGCAAGGCAUCAGGGUACACCUUCACUGAAUACUCUAUGAACUGUGUGAAUCAGAAGCCUGGACAAGGCCUGGAGUGGAUUGGAGCUAUUAUUCCUGAAUAUGAUGCUGCUGAAUACAAUCCGAAGUUCCAGGGAAAGGCCACACUGACUGCAGACAAAUCCUCCAGCACAGCCUACAUGGAGCUCAGCAGCCUGACAUCUGAUGACUCUGCCAUCUAUUACUGUACAAGAGACACAGUGUUGCAACCACAUCCUGAGUGUGUGAGAAAUCUGGCUGAUCAGGAAACUGCCCUGGGACAGAGAUGACAGAGAACAUCAUCCUGUGGACUCCCUCAGAAAUAAGCAAUCUGAAGGUGUGUUUGUCUGUCUCCUCCCCAAAUAUCUAUAUUGUUUUUGUCAACUUUGCAAAGGGCAUCCAAAUACAAGGUGGUAUUAAGUUACUAUGCUUCUAGAGUACAUCAUGUCCUGACAAAUUCCUGUCCAGGGACUGACUGUAUUGAAAUGAUUCUUCUUUAAUAAAACAAUAUAAAAGUGAAGACUGUGAUGAUGACUUAUGAUGAAAAUAAAUCUGAAUUUUGAG